rnacentral:ncRNA from 2 species
AUGUAAUAUUUUUUUGCAGGCGCUUGAUCGGUCGGAUCAAGCACAAAAGGGAAAAGCUGUGUGAAACAGCUACGGUCCCGCCGCUGUGACUGGGGACAAAUCUCGCGGGCCACCGGAACUCAUCUCUCUUAGAUGGAAUUCUGGGAAGGGCGAGAGGCGAAUGAUCCAGAAGUCAGAAUACCUUCCUGCAGAGUUCAAAUCAU